CUCUGGAACUGUCCAGGUCGGCUGAGGAUGGGGGAUCUCCUUCUCCCCAUAAAUCAGUCUGGCCCUCCCCAACCGCGGGCCCCCAGGAGGCUUGUCAGAGCCGCUCCCACGGCCGGCACGCGGGGGAGGGGCCCCAGGGCGCACGAAGGACCCCCCGCAGGCUGCCCGCCGCGCCGAACCCAGGCCGUCUGGCCCGAACGCAGGCCAAGGCGGAGGCGCCCAGGCUGCUUCCCGGCCCCGGAGCCCCACAGCACCAAGCCCGGAUCGCAGGACACGGGCGCGCGCCCGGGCCCGCGCACACUCACCGCCCGCGCCGCCGCCGCCGCCGCCGCCGCCACCCCGGGACGCGGAAGGUCGGGGGCGCCGAGCCCCUAAUGCCGCAGCCUCUGGGCACCGCAGCCCCGCGCCCAGCACGCCUCCCGCGCCGCGCUGCGCCGCCUUCACGGGCCCGCCCCCCGCCCGGCCGGCCCCGCUCGGUCGCCCAACCCCGAGGAGCCGCCCGCCGGACUCGCUUUGGGGCCAAGAGGGAACGCGCCUCCCGGGCCCGCGGCGGAGCGGAGCUGGAGGCCGCGUUUCAUCAGCCGAGCGCCCCCCCGGGACGCCGGAAGGAGCCUCCGCGCGGAGCCGACCACGUGCACGGCAUCUUGGGGCACGGGUUCCCGCCGUCUCCCCACUGUAAAGGAGCGGCUUACUCCAGAGGUCCAGCCCCCUCACACACAAUCACGGAACCCGUGGAUGAGGCAGUAUUUGAGACCAGAAGUUUAUUGGGGACUUGGGUUUGGUUUUUGUUUGGUUGGUUUUGUCGUUGUUUUUAGAGUCGGGGGUUUCGCUGUGUUGCCCAGGCUGCUAUCGGACUCCUGACCUCAAGCGAUCCUCUUGCUUGGCCUCCCAAAGUGUUGGGAUUACAGGCGUGAGCCACCGCACCUGGCCGGGGACUUGUUUCUAAUGGAAAAUUGUGUAUGUGCUGUAUUGUUAAGAGCAUUGGUUUGGGGUCAGACUAGGCUGUGAUUCGGGUCUCUCCACUUCUUAUUAUCGUCUUUGGUAAAUUAUUUAACCUCUUUGUGCCUUCGUUUUCUGUAAAAAGCAGAUAAUUAUAGCUACUUCAUGAGGUCGUGUGAAGAUUUAAUGAGAUAGUGUGUGUGAAAUGUUCACAGCUACCAGACACAUACUCACUCGUGUUCCCAAUUGCUAUACUCACAAGGGCUCACUCCCAUCGCCAUCCUUCGUAAUUUCAAAGGGUCUACGGUUAAAAGUAAGUAACCUUUCCCCUGAGGAAAACACUAACCUUGUGCUUUCCUUGUAUUUUUCCUUAGAGCACAUAUGUACCUGUGCGUGUGUGCGUUUACACAAAGGAAGGCCUUUUCUAUUCUGUUGGGCACUCUGCUUUUUCAUUCGACAAAGUACCUUGGCGCUCAUCGGCCAGAACGCGCCACACUGCCUCAUUUCCUUUUAAGGGGCACAUAAACGUCCCUAUAUUAAUAUUAGGUUUGCGCAAAAGUUAUUGCGUUUUUUUGCCAUUAAAAACAUUACAGGCUGGGCGCGGUGGCUCACGCCUGUAAUCCCAGCACUUUGGGAGGCCGAGGCGGGAGGAUUACCUGAGGUCGGGAGUUCGAGACCAGCCUGAUCAACAUGGGGAAACCCCGUCUCUACUAAAAAUACAAAAUUAGCCGGGCCUGGUGGCGCAUGCCUGUAAUCCCAGCUACUCGGGAGACUGAGGCAGGAGAAUCGCUUGAACCCGGGAGGUGGAGGUUGCGGUGAGCCGAGAUUGCGCCAUUGCACUCCAGCCUGGGCAACAAGAGCAAAACUCCAUCUCAAAAAAAAAAAAAAUUGCAAAAACCGCGAUUAUUUUUGCACCAACCUAAUAGAAAGGGUCUUUGUUUUCUUAACCCUUCUUUCUUAGUGGACAUGAAGGUGAUUUCCAGCCUUGCUGACAGGCCUUGCCCUGAUACACAUAGCAGCAUUGUUGCAUACACGCAAACAUGCCACAGCCUGCAUUUCUUUCUUUCUCUUUCUCUUUCUUUCUUUCUUUCUUUCUCUCUUUCUUUCUUUGUUUCUUUUUCUUUCCUUCUUUCAUUUCUUUCUCUCUUUGUUUCUUUUUCUUUCCUUCUUUCUUUCUUUCUUUCUUUCCUUCCUUCCUUCUUUUUCUUUUUCUUUUUCUUUUUCUUUUUCUUUUUCUUUUUCUGAGACAGGGUCACUCUCUUGCCCAGGCUGGAGUGCAGUGGUGCAGUCACAGCUCACUGCAGCCUCGGCCUCUCCUCUCAGGCUCAAGGGAUCCUCCCACCUCAGCCUCUCUGGUAGAUGGGUCUAAAAGUGCAUGCCACCACUCCCGGCUAAUGUUUUUGUUUUUGUUUUUGUUUUUGUUUUGUAGAUGCAGGGUCUUACUAUGUUUCCCCAGCUAGUCUCAAACUCCUACACUCAAGUGAUCCUCCCACUUCAGCCUCCCAAAGUGCUGGGAUUACACGUGCAAGCCACCAUGCCUGGCCCAUUUCUAUAAGUAGAUGUGCUGAGUCAGAAUGUACAUGCUUGUUUGUUUGUUUGUUUGUUUGUUUGUUUGUUUUUGAGAUGGGGUCUCGCUCUGUCACCCAGGCUGGAGUGCAGUGGUGUGAUCUUGGCUCACUGCAGCCUCCACCUCCCGGGUUCAAGCGAUUCUCCCACCUCAGCCUCCCGAGUAGCUGGGAUUACAGGGGUGUGCCACCACGCCUGGCUAAUUUUUGCAUUUUUAGUAGAGACAGGGGUUUCACCAUGUUGCCCAGGCUGGUCUCGAACUCCCGACCUCAGGUGAUCCACCCGCCUUGGCCUCCCAAAGUACUGGGAUUACAGGGGUAAGCCACCGCACCUGGCCUAUGCAUGCAUUUUUUUAUUUUAACAGAUAUUCCAAAUUGUUGGGAAACUCUCAGACCCCAGAACUUAGCUGGCUGCAUGCUCGGCCAGCCCUCAGAGACAGCAUGAUUGGAGGCAGGAGCAGGAAUUGGCAACCUGAGAAGUAGAUACCACCCAGGCACCCUCAUUCACAAGGAUCCAGGUAGUGGGCUACUAAAAAUGAAGUUCAUUCAUUUAUUUAUCCACAAAUGGACAUUCAGUACCUGCUAAGGGACAGGCAUUGUACUGAGCAAGAGUGAACAAUACACACCAGGUCCCUAUUUAGUGUGCCUGAUUUCCAAACAAAACAAAAACAAAAAACAAUUUAGACGCGUGGGAGCAAGAGCCUCAAGAGAUAUUGAAGCUUUACUCACUGAUGAUAGGAUAUUAAAAGGGAUCCUGCAACAGGUGUGUGGCCUGAUCACCAUCUAUCUAAACCCUACCUCUCCAACAAGGUUGCCCUCCUCCAUGAAGCCAGAUGUGGUCCCCCUGCCCUUUCUGCCAGGCUGCCUUUACUCUUCAUUCUCACUGCUGGUCACUCCAGCGUGAACUUAGUGCUGACACAUCAAUCUCCUAUACCAGGGAGGCACAGAAGACAGGGGCCUUUGGAGCUGGCCCACCAGGCUCUACCACUUACUGGCAUGUGGCAUUGGCAGGCAGCUCAGCUCACUCUCUGAGUUUCAAUACCCUCAUUUAUGAAAGGCAGAUAACUGCUAAUCUGGGAGAUUGCAAGAAUUAAUUGAAGUGAUGAAAUGCUUAGAAGAAAAUGCUCAGUAAAAGUGUGGUGCAUUCUUGGACAACGAGGUAUCAUGUGUUUGCAUCUCUGAAAUGUCACCAGUGUUCAGUCCUGGCAUAGCAAGGAGGAGUGGGUGCUCAUGUAGAAUGGAGAAAGGACAAUAGAAUCCAGUGAAAGUAGGGUGAAAUCCAGUCAGGUGUGCUGGAAAGCAGACUUCAGUAGUGAUCAUCUUGAAUCCACAAGGUCCUUGUGGUGGGCCCAAGCCUCUCCCCACCCACAGCCUACCCUGGACUAAUCUUUACUCACUCUCUCCCAACACGUAAAAACCCUAUGCUCCAAAAAUACAGAGCAUCUCUCAUUUCCUCCUAUAACCCUCUCCCCCUGUUCUCUCACUUCUAGUUCUCAGUGGUUGCCAUUCUCUCCCAUCUGGAAAGUUGUCUCCAAACCCCAGCCCCAUCGUUCUACCUGACGAACCAACUCAUUCUCGGGUUUCAGCUGAAAGGGCCCUUCUUCUGGGAGCCCUGCCCUGUCCUGGGCCUAGGCCAGUUCCCCAUUCUCAUAGUUCAUUCUCAUAGUUACUCUUGUUUGUUUGUUUCUGGCUUUGUGUGUUUUUAUUUUUUGAGACAGGGUCUCACUCUGUCACCCAGGCUGGAGUACAGCAGCGCGAUCUUGGCUCACUGCAGCCCCGACCUCCUAGGCUCAAGUGAUCCUCCCACCUCAGCCUCCCAAGUAUCUGGGACUACAGGCAUGCACCACCAUUCCCGGCUAAUUUUUUAUUUUUAGUAGAGACAGGGUUUUACCAUGUUGCCCAAGCUGGUCUCGAACUCUUGAGCUCAAGCAAUACACCUGCCUCGGCCUCCCAAAGUGCUGGGAUUACAGGUGUAAGCCACUGCGUCCAGCCCUACUCUUGCUUAACCUACACUCAUCCCAUACCCAUCACAUGGUAUUGUCAUUGUUCAGUGUCCCCUUUCCCAAAAAGAGAGUAAGCCUUUUGGGCAUAGGGCUGUUUCUACCCAUGUUCAUAGCUAUCCCCCUGCCCCUAACCCUGUCCUCAGUAAUUGUUAAAUGCAUAUGAAGUAGUGAAUGAAUAAAUAUGAAUGAAAUCAUCAGGGCCUCAACUAUAGAUAAAUCCAAAUAACCACAAACCCCAGCCAAAGCCACCCUUACUCAGCAGUUGCUCCAUCUGUCCUGUUGUGUCUGUAAGGGUUACAGACCCAGGGCUGAGGGCUAGCUGCCAACACUGUUUGAUAACUUGGAUGAAGUAAGAGAAUGAACUUUUUUCCAGCCUGGCAGAACCUUAGUGUUGCAGCAGAUGGUACUGAGAGAACCUCAGAACUGCUGGAUGAGUAAGUGAAAAGGCAAAGAUCAAAAGAUCAAAACUUACAUCUUGGUGUUUUUUGGUUUUUUUUUUUUUCUUUUGGAGCUCAUGUGCCAGUUAUAGAUUCACUAACUUCCUAAACUUUUCAUGGAGACAUACUACUUGGAACAUUGCCAUGGCCUGAACAAAUUGAACCAAAGAAUGCAGUAUUAGUAAUUCAGGCUGGGAACUCAGACAGACCUGGGUUUAAAUCCAGACUUCACCACAAAUUGGCUCUGUGACCCUGUAGCCUCAGUUUCCUAAUCUGCAAAAUAGAAAUGAUAAUACCUACCUCAUAGAGAUGGUAGGAAAAUUAGAUUAUGUAUAUAGAGUACCUUGAAUGCCACCUGGUAUAAAGUUGAUGUUAAUAAAUGUGAGCUAUUUUAGAAAUUAUUUCCGAAAGUGUGUCCCACAGAAUGUUCCGUUGCUAGUGGCUCCAUUACAUUGAUUUCAGCUCCCGGAAGUCACAUCCUCAAAUGACGGACUCCACUAUGGGAGAGGUAGACUAACUGUACGUGAGAGCUUGGGACUAAAUACAUAGCUGUGCUUGGCAGGAGGUGUGCUGGAAGUCAGACAGAUCACAUGCUGUUUGUCAGGAAACCGGGCCUAAGUCAGAAGAAAAAAUCCUCUGAAUUCCUAUCAGGAAGGCCAGCAAUCCCCCCGGGGCAGAUAGGGGUCAGGGAUCUGUUUCUACACUAUGAACAGAAAGACAAGUGCCAGGGUCAGAAGAGUCAGAAGAGGGAGAACUCCCCUCUAGCGGCUGUGGAGAAGAGGCAAGGGCAGUUGAAGGCAAUUGGGCUUUUUUAACUAGGUAACUAGACUAUCGGUCUUUUCAUCUUUAAAAACCACCUAAGAUAAUUGUAGACAACCCAGUCAUGCUCUCUGAACAACCAGCCUUGUUUCUCUCCUAAACUUAUCAUCAACAGUAGCAUCUAGAAUGCUGCCAUCCUGCUUUGUAAGUUAUUUUCUUUUCUUUUUUGUUUUUUGAUACAGGAUCUCAACUUUGUUACCCAGGCAGGAGUGCAGUGGCACAAUCUUGGCUCACUGCAACCUCUGCAUCCCAGGUUCAAGCGAUCCUCCUGCUUUAGCCCCCACAAGUAGCUGAGACUAUAGGCAGCGCCACCACCAUAUCCAACUAAUUUUUUUCUUUUGUAUUUUUUGUAGAGACAGGGUUUCCCCCUGUUGCCCAGUCUGGCAUCGAUCACCUAAGCUCAAGCGAUCCACCCAUCUUGGCCUCCCAAAAUGCUAGGAUUAUAGGUGUCAGCCACUGCACCCGGCCGUAAGUUAUUUUCAAGUAGGAAAAAAAGGAGGCUGCCUGCUCCUUAACUCUUCAAGCCUACCCAUCCCUAUCAAUCAUCCCUUCAAACACAGUAAACUAUGGCUUUAAAUUCACAGCUGACCCAGGAGCCAGUGGCAUCUGAAAUUUUUUUAAAAGCCAGAGAAGAUCUAUGUUGACCUGAUGAUCUUUCACCUUCUAGAUCUCCCUGAACCACUGGCCAAAUCUUUCAAUAAAGAAUGUGCUUAACCUGCCUCUUAAGACCCAUGUAUUUGCACAAGAAGGAAAAAAAAAACCAGAAAAAAAAGCAAAACUAGAGCUGCCUGCCUGUGCUGAAGCUUUUUCAGUAAUUUCAGAGCCACUGAAGUGAUGUGAGAUCAGUUGACAAGAGAAAAACACUCUGAGAUCUGCCAGAAUGACCCUCAAGGGGAGAAAAAUAAUUAAACAGGUGGAAAAACAAGGAACACGCAAGACUGAUCAAAGCGUUUCUUUUCUGUUGAACAGCUUUUGCUGACUUCUGGUACCAUCAGUUUUCUUGAGUACAAUAAAGACCAACAAAUGCAGAAUGUUAGUUACGGGCCUUACUCAAUCAGGCUCAAAGGCUUUACUGGGGUUACAGGAAGCCAAGUACCCAGUCCACUAAUGUCCUGGGAGAAAAGCCUGAAGGCAGAGCAUGGUAGGUUUUCUCUUGCAGCCUGCAGGCUGAUCUGAUGGGACUUCAAUUCUGUCACUUCCUUGCUCUGUGACAUUGAACAUUCUGUAAGCCUCUGGGCCUCAGCUUUCUCAUCCAUGGAAGUGGGAUUACAGUGUCUAACCUGCAGGGCUGCUGUGUGUUUAUAUAUGUGCAUAGAACAUAAUGGCCUUCCCUUGAUAGAAGCAGAGAUUGGACAUGUGGCCUCUGACAAGUUACUUUUUUUUUUCUACAAGUUUCCCUCUCCUCUCCCCCAUUCAGAAAGUGGAAGGGGUAAUUCUUCAGGGAAUUUGUGAGAUGUUACCACAAGGUUACACAAUGGCUUGCUGUAAACUAUUUUAUGUCUUUUUUUUUUUUUUUUUUUUGAGACGGAGUCUUGCUCUGUCACUCAGGCUGGAGUGCAGUGGUGCGAUCUCGAUCUCAGCUCACUGCAACCUCCAACUCCCAGGCUCAAGCGAUUCUCAUGCCUCAGCAUCCUGAGUAGCUGGGACUACAGGUGCACACCACCACGCCCCAGUAAAUUUUUUGUAUUUUCAGUAGAGACAGGGUUUCGCUAUGUUGGCCAGGCUCGUCUCGAACUCCUGGCCUCAAAUGAUCCACCAGCCUCGGCCUCCCAAAGUGCUGGGAUUACAGGUGUGAGCCAUAUUUUAUGCCUUUUAUCAGGGCAUCCUCUGUAGGUUUACAUGACAUAAAAUUGCCCAGAGGGCAACUGAAGAGCAUCACUCUACAAUUUGGGAGAGGUAAAGGGAAAAGAAUCAGAUGGGUAAGAUACAUAAAAGGUAUAUAGCUAUGAAGUUGUUCAAUACUCAGUACACACCGUGGUUAAACACAGAUGCAAAAGCCGGAUUGCAAGUUUGAAUCUUGGCUCCAUCACUGCACAUCCUUGGGCUGGUUCCUUAACCUCUCUCAGUCUCAUAUCCCAUAAAAAAAAAAAAAGAAUUAAAUUAGUCAAUAUAAAUGUAAAAGUUCUUACAACUAGCUGGCACAUAGAAAGCUGUUAGCAGGCAGGGCAUGGUGGCUCACAUCCAUAAUCCCAGCACUUUGGGAGGCCAAGGCAGGCAGAUCACUUGAGGUCAGCAGUUCGAGACCAGCCUGGCCAACAUGGUGAAACCGCAUCUCUACUAAAAAUACAAAAAUUAGCCAGGCGUGGUGGUGGGCGCCUGUAGUCCCAGCUACUCAGGAGGCUGAGGUGGGAGAAUCACUUGAACCUGGGAGCGGGAGGUUGCAGUGAGCCGAAAUCAUGCCACUACACCCCAGCCUGGGCAAUAGAGUAAGGCUCUGUCUCAAAAAAAAAAAAAAAAAGCUGUUAGCAGUUGUAGCAGAAACAUGGUUUUACCCAUGGAAUAUCCAUGGGCUUCCCCUUAUUUCUUAGCCUCCCUUGUGUUGGGUCGGGACACGUGACCUACACCAAUAUGCUGAGAACAAGUGUCAUUUGAGGACUGAAGCAGGUGAGAGCUGAUGCAUGCUUGCCAACUUUUUCUUCCCAUCACUGAAAUUUCAUGGAAACCAUGUGGUGAGAUGGUAGAGACACAAACUGGAAGUAAUCCAAAUCACUGAGCGGCCACAUGGAGAACAGUCACCCUGAAGUCACCCAACUUGUAUCAGAUUUUGUAAGAAAUAAACCUUUGUUACAUUAAGCCACAGAGAUUUCAGAACCUGUCCUGUCCUGACCGAUGCAGCUAUUAUUAAACUUGUAAUCAAGAAUGAUUAGUCUGAGAAAAGGACAGCAAAUUUUAGAAAAUUAGGAAACAUUUGCUGAGUACCUAGAAUGUUCCAGACAUCUUGUAUAGUGCCUUAUCUUCUCUAAUCUGGGGGUGGUUUUUGGCACCCAGGGGACAUUUGACAAUAUCUGGAGAUAUUUUUUGUUUCACAACUGAAGGGGUUCUGCUGGCAUCUAGUGGGUAGAGGCCAGGGACACUGCUACAAAGCCCUAUAAUGUAUUAAGUGUACAAAAGGAAACCCUCCCGGCCAGGCAUGGUGGUUCAUACCUGUAAUCUCUGCACUCUGGAGUCUGAGGCAGGCAGAUGGCUUGAGCCCAAGAGGUUGAAGCUGCAGUGAGCCCUGAUCGUUAUGCCACUGCACUCCAGCCUGGGCGAAAGAGCGUCUCAAAAAAAUAAAACCUCUCUGCUGUUGGUUUCUGUGACUGGCAACGUUGGGUUGCUUGGCUCAGUAUUAAUAGUCAAGCAGUUAAGUAAAUAAGCACAACUCCAUUAAUCCAGAAUAAAAAUACUGUUGGCAACCCAUUUAAACAUUGAGUCUAAGCACUUGAACAUGAGUGUUGCUUCAUGUUUCUCCAGUUUGGGAAAUCUGUAUUUGCAGUUGGCAGAGAUUAGGAGUUGCUACACUUAGCAAUAAGGAGAGUAAAGCCUUAACAAAACUGGAUACAGUUUGUUAAGCCCUCCAAACUGACAUGUUAAGAUGGAGAUGUUUACCAGACAUCCAAGUCAAAAUAUCAAAUAAGCAAUUUAAUGACUACAGCUCAAGAGAAAUGGGUUUGAGAUAGAAAUUUGGGUCUUCAGUAUAGGUAAUAAAGCCUGGAAAUGAAUGUGGUCUCACCAAUAGAAUGUUAGAGAAGUCCAAGAACAAAACCUUGGUGAUAUGGUUUGGCUGUGUCCCCACCCAAGCCUCAACUUCAAUUGCAUCUCCCAGAAUUCCCACGUGUUGUGGGAGGGACCAAGGGGGAGGUAAUUGAAUCAUGGGGGUCAGUCUUUCCUGUGCUGUUCUCAUGAUAGUGAAUAAGUCUCACGAGAUCUGAUAGAUUUAUCAGGCUGCUUUUGCUUCUUCCUCAUUUUCUCUUGCCUCCACCAUGUAAGAAGUGCCUUUCACCUCCUGCCAUGAUUCUGAGACCUCCUCAGCCAUGUGGAACUGUUAAGUCCAAUUAAACCUCUUUUUCUUCCCAGUAUCAGGUAUGUCUUUAUCAGCCGCAUGAAAACGGACUGAUACAGUAUAUUGGUACCAGGAGUGGGGUGCUGCUAAAAAGAUAACCAAAAAUGUGGAAGCAACUUUGGAACUGGGUAACAGGUAGAGGUUGGAACAGUUUGGAGGGCUCAGAGGAAGACAGGAAAAUGUGGGGAAGUUUGGAAUUUCCCAGAGACUUGUUGAAUGGCUUUGCCCAAAAUGCUGAUACCAAUAUGAACAAUAAGGUCCAGGCUGAGGUGGUCUCAGAUGGAGAUGAGGAACUUGUUGGGAACUGGAGCAAAGGUGACUCUUGCUAUGUUUUAGCAAAGAGACUGGCAGCAUUUUACCCCUGCCCUAGUGACUUAUGGAACUUUGAACUUGAGAGAAAUGAUUUAGGGUAUCUGGUAGAAAUUUCUAAGCAGCAAAACAUUCAAGAGGUGACUUGGGUGCUGUUAAAGGCAUUCAGUUUUAUAAGGGAAGCAGAGCAUAAAAGUUUGGAAAAUUUGCAGCCUAUGUGAUAGAAAAUUAAAAUGCAUUUUCUGGGGAGAAAUUCAAGCUGGCUGCGGAAAUUUGCGUAAGUAGCAAGGAGGCUAAUGUUAAUCC
rnacentral:lncRNA from 1 species